UAAAUCACCAAUGGGUUCCCAGCGACCACACACCACAUUUAAGUUAUUUCCUUGGCUUCUCUCGAUGAGGAUUCCUGACUUGUGGCCCUGGCAAUCUUGGGGAAACAUCAUCCAAUUUCUUCGAUCCAGACCACGGGGGCCCCCUUCUCCCCAGCAUCACCCCCACGGAACUUGGACACGUUGACGGAAGCAUUUUUUAGGACCCUUGUGAGUAAAAUAUUGACUCUUCACUGAAAAUCAUUUCGA
rnacentral:lncRNA from 1 species